rnacentral:misc_RNA from 1 species
UUUCCGUAGGUGAACCUGCGGAAGGAUCAUUAUUGUAUAACCGAGGUGCGAGGGCUGUCGCUGACCCGAAAGGUCGUGCACGCCCGAGUGCCCUCACACACAUCCAUCUCACCCCUAUGUGCACCACCGCGUGGGUCCCCCUUUGGCUUGUUCGGAGGGGGGCUUACGUUUUCACACAAACUUUCUAUGCAGUGUAGAAUGUAUUUUUUGUUUUUGCGAUCACGCAAUCAAUACAACUUUCAACAACGGAUCUCUUGGCUCUCGCAUCGAUGAAAACGCAGC